ACAAAAAAUUUUCCAAGAAUGCCACAACACCUCAUGAUUAUGAAAAAUGGACACGUUCCAGGAUCCUGAAUGAGAGGUAAAUUAUUUUUCUUCUAAUUAUUUCUAACCUUCUCCUUUUAAAUUAUUUCUUGGACAAUUUUUCUUCGUAAUAUAUCAAUUUGUUUCAUGUUCUCAAUAGCAAGUUUUUUUAAUUUUCUAGAUGUGUGUUGCAAUUUCAAAGAAUGUCUCAAGUUGUUGGCUGGAGUGUUUUUGAUCACAAAAAUGAACACUGUCAUUGGAAAGUACAUAAAAGGUCUUAAAAUAUUUUCCUGUUUUAUCUUACAUGAAAUGUUUUGAACAUUAUAUGAUGGCCUGUGAUCAAUAGUUUAAAAAAUCCUAGCAGAUUAUUGUAAAAAUAGCAUGACCAUGUUACUUAUGACACAAAAUCCUCCUCGUGAG